UACGUAGGGGGCUAGCGUUGUCCGGAUUUAUUGGGCGUAAAGAGCGUGUAGGCGGUCCGGUAAGUCCGCUGUGAAAGUCGGGGGCUCAACCCUCGAAUGCCGGUGGAUACUGUCGGGCUAGAGUGCGGAAGAGGCGAGUGGAAUUCCUGGUGUAGCGGUGAAAUGCGCAGAUAUCGGGAGGAACACCUAUGGCGAAGGCAGCUCGCUGGGACGGUACUGACGCUGAGACGCGAAAGCGUGGGGAGCAAACAGG
rnacentral:rRNA from 1 species